rnacentral:rRNA from 1 species
GGGCGGGGGCUUGGCUAUACUGCAGUCGAGCGAACAGAUGAAGUGCUUGCACUUCUGACGUUAGCGGCGAACGGGUGAGUAACACGUAAGGAAUCUACCUAUAAGCGGGGGAUAACAUUCGGAAACGGGUGCUAAUACCGCAUAAUAUCUUCUUCCGCAUGGAAGAAGAUUGAAAGACGGCUCUGCUGUCACUUAUAGAUGACCUUGCGGUGCAUUAGUUAGUUGGUGGGGUAAUGGCCUACCAAGACGAUGAUGCAUAGCCGACCUGAGAGGGUGAUCGGCCACAUUGGGACUGAGACACGGCCCAAACUCCUACGGGAGGCAGCAGUAGGGAAUCUUCCGCAAUGGGCGAAAGCCUGACGGAGCAAUGCCGCGUGAGUGAAGAAGGCCUUCGGGUCGUAAAACUCUGUUAUAAGAGAAGAACAUAUUGUAGAGUAACUGCUACGGUCUUGACUGUAUCUUAUCAGAGAGCCACCCCUAC